UGAUUAGUCAACACAAUAAAAAUAAAUGGCAAUAAAAUAAGUUAGUAAUGCUGAAAGAAAUUCUUGUGAUGGAACCAGAACACUACAUUCAAGUUGCAAGAUUGACCAAUAUUAUAAGGCUAACUAAUGAUUUGGGACAGUCACAGCCUUUACAACAAUUACGCUUUGCUACCCCUCACAUAACCGCUAACACCUUCCGUCGUCAAUAAUAAUGUUUAAAUUUAAAGAUCAGAGGGAAUCGAUUGGAAUUCAUUAAAUAAUGUUCAUAAAAACUGAACUCCAAAACUGGUAUGCUUUUAUGCUAUACCAACGUUUUUAAUAUCUCGUCUGUGGAACCAAGGGCUAUGGUUUUCCUUUUGCUAAAACAUUUUCAAGACAGCGGUUCAUCGUAAACAAAAAAAUACUUCUACCGACGAUGGCGAAGCUAAGUAUAUACAGUUUUUUUUGUUUCUUUUUUUUUUUUAAAUAUUUUCUUUCAUUAGAUGCCACAAGGAUAUGAAGGUUUUGCAUGAACUUUAGAUUGGGCAACCUAUUAUGAGAGAAAACUUGGACUAAGUUGAAAGCUGCACGACCAUAAAAAAAGAAUCUUGUUUUCAUGCGAAGCGCUCUAAGUACCCAAGUAAACGCAAACAGCUGACAGAGACAGUUUAGGAAGAAGCAACCGGGUUACCUUUCCGUUAAUUAUAGCCAAACGAUCUCUAACUAGGUAACUAAUUGGGCUGUUUACCCCGAUUGAAACCUCACGGGGCACGAGGCCAAAAUCAGACAAACCGUUGCGCUAUCAAUUCCACAAUCCACAAAAAUCAAAAUAAAGAAUUCGGGGUGGAGCAUCUAGGUUUUUUCCUCUCACCCCGUUGGGUUUCAAUCGGGGUGUGUAAUCGUGGAGUUAACUCUGAUUUCAUCAAGCGAUCGAGUAUAAUCGACUACAGCCGUAAAAUCAGAGUGCGUGCCCGAAUGUAAACUCCAAUUAUUGCUCUUUCUGCCACGUUUACUCUGAUUUCUAUUCAGAUUCCUAACACCAAACUUUAUUGUUCAAACCAUGGUGGUUCAAACUACGCUUCUUCCCGCCCCGCUGCGUUGACGAAAUAGACACCGAACAUCUCCGCAGAGUCAUAGAGGGAUGGUUCGUUCAUUGCGUCGACUUUGGCCAUAAGGCUUGGUCGUCAGUUUUCGAGGGUUUUUUAAGCAUUUAUUUUUCAGUUUUUAACUGAUACAAUAGAGGCCAGCACAGUAGUUAAGGAAAAACGGUAAAAGAAAGGCUUAGGUAGCUGGAAUUUAGCUUAUGAACGUAACUUUAGCUUGGAAUUGGAAAUGUAUGAAACAAAACCGUUGCAACAUUUAAAGAAUAUCUUAUGUUUUCACUCCUUUUUAAAUAUCUUGAUAUAACCUAGCCUAGGAUUGACAUGUAGUUUACUUAAAACACACUAGGUGCCAUCACUAUCGUUAAGGAGAAUUUUGACGACCAAGCCUUAUGGCCAAAGUCGACGCAGUGAACGAACAAUCCCCUCUAUGACUCUGAUCUCCGAUUGGGGUUUUUCCUGGUGGGGGAGGACCCUGAUUAAGCCAUUCGGAGCACAAACGGAGGAUCACUUUGACAACCAGGGCGGGGCGGGGAAAAAAAAUUGUGUCGGUUACGGUUGAAGGGUAAAAAUCGGGUUAGUUGGGUAGAAUGAGGUAUUAUCAGGGUUGUAAUCGCGGCGAAACUCGAUCGGUUCUGUUCUUGCAUUGAUCGAUUGGAUAAAUAUAAUAUAUAAUAUGGAUACAUAACUAUUAAAUAGAAAAUAAAGGCGAUUCGAGCUUUCUUUUGAUUAAAAUUAUUUUAUUUCUUUGUUCUUGGAAACAAGGAUUUAAAAAAUAGAGCUACGGUACUCGGAUUAACAGUCGAUAUUGUCAACAACUCAACAUUGCCAUACCCCUAUGGCAACCGGUUUUACCAACAUUUAUUUUUUCUUUUUCCCAAAAAAAAAAAAAAAUCUCUACUCUUUCGCCAUCUAGCGGUCGAUCUUGAACUCGGUUUCCCAAGUGAUUUAUUCCCUUUGUGUGACAUUGCACUAUUGCAGUUGCAGUCGAAGUCCUCGCGUUGCUGAGUCCCUCAAACAGCCUGCUGAUUUCUGAGCACAACAUCAAUCUUAAGUGAUUUCGUCGGCCGAAAGCGUCAGACGUUGAAUUCUGAGCACAGCAUCACCAUGGCUCAAAAUUAUUUGGUCGGCCGAAAGCGUCAGACAUUGAAUUCACCAUCUGAUAAGGGUAUGAAGGUGAAUUCCAUCACUGCUGUACUUAAACAUUCUCUGUCAGUAGUUCCAUGUCCAGACGGGACAGAACAUCUAUGGGAUAGAAUCAUAUGCUACGUUGGACUUGGUUAUUCAGUGAGAAGAAUAACGUGAGCUGUACUUAAACAUUCUCUGUCAGUAGUUCCAUGUCCAGACGGGACAGAACAUCUAUGGGAUAGAAUCAUAUGCUACGUUGGACUUGGUUAUUCAGUGAGAAGAAUAACAUGAGAAGAAUAACAACACACAACAUUUCUCAUUAGACUUGCAGUUAGGGAUGACGACUUCAAAGACAAAACAUCUGGAACAGGUUGGAAAGAAUUGCUUCUCGUUCCUUCCAACAACCGGCUUUUCGUAACAACUGUUUCUAUCUCUCGUUUCACCAUGUUGAAUUCAACUUGACCGACAUCAGCAGUACUGCAGGAGCGACGCUUUCACUUUCAGAGCCUCAGGAACGCGAGGACUUCGACUGCAGUAUCACACAAAGAGACAGUGUUGCCACGAAAAAAAUCAUGAUCGGGAUCGUUUACUGUUAUAUUAAAGUCUGUUGGAGACAAUGUUGUCAUAACAUGCUUCAAAACUCUCCCUGUAACAAUUUCCCCUCCACUUUCUUUAAUGUAACUUUGCAAUUCUUCUACACAAAGAGAAAUACAGAUGGGAAAUAACAAA
rnacentral:lncRNA from 1 species